rnacentral:rRNA from 1 species
UACGUAGGGUGCGAGCGUUAAUCGGAAUUACUGGGCGUAAAGCGUGCGCAGGCGGUGAUGUAAGACCGAUGUGAAAUCCCCGGGCUUAACCUGGGAACUGCAUUGGUGACUGCAUUGCUGGAGUAUGGCAGAGGGGGGUGGAAUUCCACGUGUAGCAGUGAAAUGCGUAGAGAUGUGGAGGAACACCGAUGGCGAAGGCAGCCCCCUGGGCCAAUACUGACGCUCAUGCACGAAAGCGUGGGGAGCAAACAGGA